GACGAACGCUGGCGGCGUGCUUAACACAUGCAAGUCGAACGGGAUUUAGUAAACGGAAGCCUCGGUGGAAGAUUACUAAUGAGAGUGGCGAACGGGUGAGUAACGCGUGAGCAACCUGCCUAUGACAGUGGGAUAGCCUCGGGAAACCGGGAUUAAUACCGCAUAAAAUCGUAGAAACACAUGUUUCAACGGUCAAAGAUUUAUCGGUCAUAGAUGGGCUCGCGUCUGAUUAGCUAGUUGGUGAGAUAACAGCCCACCAAGGCGACGAUCAGUAGCCGGUCUGAGAGGAUGAACGGCCACAUUGGAACUGAGACACGGUCCAAACUCCUACGGGAGGCAGCAGUGGUGAAUAUUGCACAAUGGGGGAAACCCUGAUGCAGCGACGCCGCGUGAACGAAGAAGGUAUUCGUAUCGUAAAGUUCUGUCCUAUGGGAAGAUAAUGACAGUACCAUAGAAGAAAGCUCCGGCUAAAUACGUG
rnacentral:rRNA from 1 species